UGAGUAAUUUAACUUUUUCUCCUUGAUGGGGGAUGCCUGCACCAUCUGUGCUCCUCACUCUCUUUUUGCUGUUUGGAUGUGGCAGCCAUUUUGUGUUUUGCCACGCCAGCCAUGACAGCCAUUUCAUACCCUCCAAUAUUUCUCCGAUGAAAAUAGGGACAUCCUAAGGAAAAGUGGGACGUUCUGGGAUCAAAACAGAAACCGGAACGGCUUCUCUAAGUUAGGAACAUCUCUGGAAAAUAGGGACACUUGAGGGGUCUGCCAUUUUGUGCUACUGUAUGUCACAUUACCCACUGCAGUCCUUUUGUGACUGGGGCCAGUGGCAGUUUAUCAAAAUACUAAAUGUGCCCCCUAAAUGUGUUAAAAGAGUCAGUGUUUUAUUAUACUCUCAAAAUGCUUUCCUUAUUUUUGAGCUCUUCAGGUGGAAAGCCCAAACCAACUGAAAUUUACUUUUACUUAAUUCUGUAUGACAAAACACACCUUAGAAUCCUCAUAUUGUCCAUAAUCACUGAGAAAAUGGAGAAAGUCACUUUUUUUGUCCUUUAUCAGAAGACUGCCACUCUCUUUCAUGAAAAAGGCUUGAAUAGUUAACUGAGUAAUUGCUUGGUGGCCAGAAAUUCAGUGGAUGCAAAACGGGUAUUAAGUGGCACCUGUAACACUGCCAGUUACUGCAAUCAAAACAGUUAAGAAAGCAGAUAUGGGGGCCAUAGCUCAGUGGAAGGGCACCUGUUUUUCCUGCUGAAGGUUCAGUCCUUUACAUUUCCAGGUAAGAUUGGAAAAGACCUGUGUCAGCUUCAGCCUGCUAGGACUGUUAGGAUUUGUAGUCAAAAAUACUGGAAAUGCACCAGGUCAAUGAAAGCUGAGCUAAAAACAGUAACUUAAAAAAAACUGCAUCCAAAUAAAUCUCAUCAACAGAAGUGUUUUUUAAAAAAUUGGGUUCUUGUAUAAACUGUCAAGGAAUUUUGUCAGCUCUUUCCCAACUUGAACAGCUCUGUCUUCCCUGCAUGGUCAAAACAUUGCCACAUUUAAAGUUACAGGGGUGACCAGAUAUCUCUCAUUCCUGCUCAAUGCUCUGCCACUCCUUCUAGCUAAACCAGCUGUCGGCCCCUGUGGCGAGUGCUCCCAUGUGCAAAGAUCCACUGUGAGAAAUGAAAUCCUAGGACUGUUACAAGACACUCCUUCCUGACAUGUGCUACUUGUAUAGUAAGUUCACUGUUUGGGUGGCUGUCAGGCAGGAAGUAUAACCAUUGAAUGGUGUUUAUCUGCCAAACAUAUGCCAUCCAUUAAGUGAGAUGAUGUCAAGCUUAUUUGUACUGAAAGAAAACAAAGAUCAAGGUUGUAGUUUUUCCCAUCCAUAACAUUUUGUAUCCUUAGUAUGUCUUAUUUCUAUGGUUGCAAAUAGGGAUGAAAUUUUCCAAAAGGCUCACUUUGCGUGGAUUUCCCCCCCUAAUGUCCAUCUUGCUCCUUGAUCUCAGUUAGAAAUCAUUUAUUUUUUACAGGUUUCACCAAAAAUAGAAAUAAUUAUUACUUGCACCAUUAUAUUCAUCAUUAUGCACAUUAUAAUAUGUACAAUCUUAUAUUUUACCAGGUCUGUGAAUGUUUAAGAAAAAAUUAUUGCUGCUGUUGUUCUUAUUGCUGUAAUAUUACAUACAUGUUACAUGUGUAUACACUCCAAUAUUCCUAAAGCAACCAGCACAUAAAUUGAUACAACAAUACAU